GAUUGAAUGGCUGAAUAUUAGGCGAUAAAUUGUAAAUUUAUUUAUGAGAAUUGUUCUCUUUAAUCA
rnacentral:tRNA from 1 species